rnacentral:lncRNA from 1 species
AUCCGUUGAAACAGAACCGGACUGAUACCUAGACAUUGGUUCGCUUCAGGGCCUCGUAUAACAUAUGUGUUUACUGAGAGAAUUGGGGUGGACUCGAAGACCCACUGAGCUGAACUGCAAACAGCUAUUUAUGUGGUGAAACAGCAACUGAAACUGUGAGUGUAAUUUUCCCCCUUGGCUCUUCCUCCCUCCCUCCCUCCCUUC